AUGGUCUCUGCAGCUUCACGCAGAUCCUCUCCACGGAGGAAAGCGGCGGCCUUUCCUACCACUACCUGUACGUGGAGUCUACAGUGGACAAACCAGAAAUCAGGCUGCACGUAUAUGCAGCUUCUCAUCUGGCUCCACAAGGGGGGCAGCUGGUCGCUGGUGGACACCAUUUGUUUGCGUGAGAUGUGUCCUGAUUUGAGGGUGCUGGGCUGCACGGCUGAGGAUGAGGACAGUGGUCUUGUCAUAAGACGGGUGGGGAACGAUGCUGAGUUUGUGCUCUUGCAGAUGGGCCGGUGCGCGCUCCACCUGGAUACCAGGCGCAGGACACUGCGUAAGGUGUAUGAGCAGACGGAAGAGGAUCAGUGUUUUGGUGACAUCCAUCCGUUUAUGAUGAUCUGGCAUCCCACAUUCCCUGCGCUCCGGGGUGAUCAUGCAAGAGAUGCAAUGUGA
rnacentral:rRNA from 1 species